rnacentral:misc_RNA from 1 species
AAGUCGUAACAAGGUCUCCGUAGGUGAACCUGCGGAGGGAUCAUUAACACUUUUCUUACGGAAAGAGGAAACUCUUUUCUACCCACUCGUGAACUAACUUAUGCCCCCCGAUUGGUCUAUAUUGAAAUAAUAUAUAGGCUGGUCAACUAUUUUUUUUCUAUUAUUUUCUAAAACCUCUAUCCAACCGCUAACGCUAUAAACAGACAGUAUUGUGAAAUGAGCAAUCAGCCCAUUUUUGCAUAUACAGUGAUAUAGUAACAAUUAAAGCACAACUCUUAGCAACGGAUAUCUCGGUUCUC